rnacentral:lncRNA from 1 species
UGGUUGUCAAUGUAGCAAGUGAUGGCAAGAUUAUACGGAGCUUCGACGAUCCAACGGGAAAGGUUAUGUCCUUUGUAACAUCUGCACUGGAGUUCGAAAAUCAUUUGUAUUUGGGAACUCUUAAUUGUGACUUCAUAGGGAAACUGCCGUUGACAACUCCAUGAAAAUAGCACUAUUUGACUGGGGAUUGCACGCAUCAAUAAUAUUGUAAAAAAGAGUGGUAAAUAGUUUUGUUCCCUUGGUGCUGGUUAUAUUUUGUACUAAGAGAACUUUUAUGUGUAGUAUUAGACGAGACUAGAAGUGCAAUGAACGAACUUUUAUGUUGGGAUGUGUUAAUCCAUUCUACCCAAAAUGAAUGAGAAUCUGGAGAAAAACCUCAGAUAUGAAAAAGCACUUGGACCGCAACUCCACCUGUGUUUUUCCACUUUAUUUCUCAAAUGGAAAAUACCGCAUUAACAAAAAAAUUCUAACAAUCACUUUAAUUUAUAAAAGUGAUUGUGACUACCGCAUUAAGUGCUUAUUCGAUAAUGAUUAUGAAAAUUGAUUUUUUGAUCGUUAGAGAGAAAAGUGGGUCACCUGUAAGUGAUAAAAGUCAAAAAUGACUAUUAGAGUAAUAAAAUAACAAUUAAAAAUUAAUUUUUUUAAAGUGAAAAAUUGCUAUCAAACGAAAUAAGUCUGUAGCUAAUUGAUGUCUAUAUGAAUACGUGAUGAGAAUCAUUUAGUUGUCUCUAUCAUCUCACUCUUAUUCAAUGAUACAAUAAUUGAAGAGUGAGACGCUAUUAUUAUAAUAAUAAAGUUCAAAUAUUAUUUAGGGGUAUUUUAAAAAAUGUCUAAUUUCAUGGGUAUCAAUUGAAAAAUGUCCACUUUUUAAAUUUAGCAUUAAAUUAUCUAAUAUGCCCUUAAUGAAAAAAAAAAAAAAAAGCAAUUUAUUUAUUUUUUCAAUUUGUUGCCGAUUUCGAGAAGUAACUUUUAUGAGAAGUUAUAUUAAAAUGAUGUUAUCGACAUUUUACAUGUCAUUCUCGAUAUUUGAAUUUCGUUUAUAUUUUAAAGUACACAUGUCAAAUCACAAUAUUAAAUGUUCUCGACAUUUUAAAUAUCUAGAAUGAAAUUUCAUUCCGAAUAUGAUAUUUCUCUACACUUGAAAUGUAGUUCUCGACGUUUCUGUGUCAAUAAGAAAAAUAGCAUUAAUUGUGAUUUGAUAUGUGCACUUUUGAAAUAAAUAUGACAGGUUAUGUGUCAAAAAUUUAUUGGCUAAUAAAAUUUUUGAAAAAAUGUCCAUUUCUUAUCUUUGUGAGGAAUUAUAAAUUGUUCACGGGGAUAUUUUGGUUAAAAAUAUUUCAAAAUGGACAUUUUUGCAAAGAUUUGUGAAAGUGGAUAUUUUUGCAAAUGAACAUGUGAAAGUGAAAAUUUCAAGUAAUUUCCUCUAUUAUAUUAUUUAUUAUACGGAUAUCAAUCUUCUAUUGAGUGCCACCAAGAAAAUGCAACCAUUUAGUCAAUCCUGCAUCCAUUUAAAUCUUGAAGCUUGGAAAGCUACAAAAAAAUUUCAUGUUGAUGAUAUACUAUUUUAAUCUAGUUUGAUUUGUAGAUUUAUUUACCUUAUCCUCUUUAAAAAAUAUAAAAGCUUUUAAGGCCCUAAUAAUUUUUUUAUAUUUAAAGUUUAUUUUCUAAAAUUACAAUUAAAAAAGAAAUUGGCCCAGUCGAUUUUACACAUCUAGAUUGUAUUAUGUAUUUGGUAAAAAUAAAAAUAAUAAAAGGCAAACAUGCUAUGUAUUCAAUUAAUUUGGAUUAAUUAAUUGUGUAUUCAAUUAAAACGAGUUUUAAAAUAAUGAAUUUUCGAAGAAUGUGUGAAUAAAAGUAGGAAAAAGUUUUAAAUGUACUUACAAAAUAAUUUAUUGAGAGAAUAUGCGAUUGAAUAUGAGUUUGAGAAAAAAAUUGAAAUAAUGGUAGAUGAACAUGGCUAUGUUAUAAAGUUUGGAUAAAUGGCAACUUGCAAGAGAUGAUUCUUCUUGAAAGGAGAUGUCUAUUUUGCUUGAUAAUCUUGCCUCUGCAAACGGUGUUGCCCUCUCAGCCGAUCAAGAUUACUUGGUCAUAUGUGAAACUUGGAAGUAAGUUUUUUUCAACAAUAAAUGCUUAAUUUUUCUCAUUUUACUUGACAAAACAACUUAUUUAGUUGUGUCUGCAUCAACAAUAAUAAAUUAAGUCCAUAUUUUACCCUGAUUUUCUAUAAUUUAUUUUUUUGUAAAAUUGUUUUCAAUCACACAAUUAAUUAAUUUUUAUCAAAAUCUAUUAAAAAUUUGAUUUUCUAGAACAAAUCGAGGCUAAAUUUUAUUUUUAAUAAAUUUGAUGUAGACUACAUAAAUCAUUUUUCUCUAGUCAAUUCUAUUCAUUGUUGAAUAUUGAGAUGAUUUGUUUAUGACGGAGGGACCCGACAAUGAGGCGCUCCAACAUUUGGUCCCAUGUGAAGGACACCGCGUAGAGAUGCGACCUUCCGUUGAUGAGAUGGGGCUGCCAGCAAUGAUUUGCGCAAAGUGAAAGAAUCAAAGUGAGGAAUACGGGAAUUAGAUUGAACAUGGUUUACUGGAUGGGUGUUUUGUGUAUUCUAAUUCAUAGGAUCUAGGAAACUAAGGGUGUGUUCUCUUUCUCGUUUUUGACUCGUUCUCUUUCUCGUUUUCGAUUUUUCAAAACGAUGAAAACUUGUUCUCUUACCCGUUUUAGAAAACACGUUUCCGAAAACACACAAAAAAAUUGUGAAGAAAACGAAAAACGACCAAAAUAUCGUUUUGGCUAUUUUCUAUAUAAAACUCCAAAAAAUUGCAAAACACAGGAAAUGCCUUUUGAAAGACAAAACCAAAUCUUCAUCCACUUUCUUCAAAUCCAUUCUCUGCCUUAUCUUUCUCUUGGACACCGUCUGUGGGUGAUCGACACCAGCUAUGGAUGGUCGCACAUUUCAACCAAUGACGAAGGAGAUGUGGUAGUAUCGACACCAGCAUGGGGACGCGUGCUGUUAUGAACGCAGCGUCGCAACCCAUUCAUCGUAACCCAGGGAAGGGGACGUUACUGUGGUUUGGGGCCGUCUCUACCAGCAGUCGAAGAGAGAAAAGUUGCAAUUCAUCGCGAUGGGUGAUCGACACCGCAAAUCUGUCCAGAAUCUGCUUUCUCUAUUUUUUGGGAGUUUUUUCUUUUGUUUUUUGGAUUUGGAAGGCGAUAGGUGUUGAUGGUGGUUGUAAUGGUUUGUUUGUGGUGGCAGUGGUUGAUGGUGGUGGUGUGUGGUAUUGAUUUUGGAAGUGGUGAGUGGUUCAGGGUGGUGGCAGUGGUUGAUGGUUGGUGGUGGCAAUGGUGUUGAUGGUUGAUGGUGGUGGCAGUGGUGUUGAUUUUGGUCUAUGGUAGUGGUGGUGGUUGUCUCUGUUGGCGGUGGUUGAUGGUGGUGGGCUAAGAGGAAAACACAUUUUCCAAAAUUUCAAAGAAUUUCAUAGUGGAUACAUUUUCCAUUUUUCUGUUUUCAGAAACGUUUCUCAAAAUGUCAAACAGAACGUAUUUUCAACAAUUUCAAAAUGUACACUCAGAACACAAAAUUCAAAAUGAAUUCAAAAAUAUAAAACUAAAACACGAAGAGAAAACACCCUAAGGUUUUGUAUAUAUGGAUUUGAAUUGUUUAUAUAGGUUUUUCUCUGACAUUGGACACGUUUCAUUUUAUUAUGAACUCCACUAGAGUUGUCAGAAAUUGAACGCUUUUUCUCAAAGGGUUUGCUGAUGGUCACAUGGUUGAAGGUGGUGGCAUUGGUAUGGUUGAAGGAUGGGGAAGAAGAUGAAGUGUAGUGGGAUGGGAUAGGAGGGAAAAUAUAAAGUUUAAAGGUUUGGGAUCGUGGAUGGUACAUAUAAAAAUUUUGGAUGUAAUUUGUAAAAAAAUAAAAAAAUUUAGCAAUUAUUCUUUUUUAAUUUUGUUCAAUUUUUACUAUUUUUAACUAUUAAACUAAAGGAUAUUGAUUGUAAGGAAAAUUUUCAAAUAAAAGAAUACAAAUAGAUGGUUUUCUAUGAUUUCCAGUAGGGAGUAUACCGUACAUUGACAAGUUUUUUGGAGAGUUUUUUGCUAUUAAUCAUUUUUAUAUUUGCUUUCUAAUCUUUUCUUUUACUCAUUUUUCGAUUUUGGAUUGUUUAUCCACCCUCAAGUUCACGCCUUCUAAGUUUUAUUUGUGGUUACUUUAGAACAAUGUGCUAUUUUUAUUUGAAAAAUUCUAUAAAAUAUUUAAAGUGAAAAAUAAACUAAUUCUUGAAUUUCAAUAAUUUGCUUCUUUUUUCAUUUCAUUUCUAUUUUUCUUAUUUAAUUUUAUUUUUAUAUCACACUAAAAUAUAUAAGCAUCAUUUGUUGAAGAUUUCUAUAUAUUUAUGAGUAAAGCCUCUUAUACACCGAGUUUUACACUCCCCUCACAUGGAGGGAGGGGUUCACGCCCAAUUAAUGCGCAAGCCCCGCCCCCAUGUGAGGGGGUUGUACAUUGAGCUGUAAGACUCGAUAUAUGUGUAGCAGCUCCAUAUAUUUAUUGUCUCAUUUUCUACUUAUAUUAGAAGUGGACAUAAUGAAAAUUAAAUGUAGCCAAGUACAAAAAAAUAUUGGUUCAACCCAUUUCGGCCUUUUGACCAUUGAUCCUUUUAUUUUUUUGGGGUCGAUUUUGAAAACUUUGAUAUACAAAAAUAUAUCUUAAUACUAUAGGAUCGUCAAAAAAAGGCACUGGGGAAGAAUAUGUUCUUGAGUAACAAUGACCGAUUGAGGAAUUCAUCAAACAGGUCGACGUUUUACCAAUUUUUUGGUCCAAAUGCACCACAAUGUUAUACUCAAAAUUUGCGCAAAAAUCCUUGAUCUAGAUCUGAAUAUGAAUCUGAAUCUGAAUCUGAAUUGGUAUGCAUUAUUGAUCAAGAAUGCUGUAGCCCUUAAAAUAUUCCUAACAGGCCAUACUUGUGAGCUUGUACAUAUAGCAGAGGGAUUCGAUUAUAUACUCUUAGGGAACAUAAAAAAGUCGUGACAAUCAACUAGUACAUUUUAUAUAGGUGACUCUUCAACAUGACUUCGUCUAACUUAGUGAUAAGCAUAGUUUUAAUACAUAAUUUGCCCUUAAUCUUGCUUUUCUUAGUUAAUCUUUUCUUAUUCAUAUGUUUUGAGUUGGAAUGGGUUAACAAGAAUCAAAGGGAAAUUUGUUUACAUUUUAUUAGUUAAAGAAUGGUUGAUUAAAAAGUUUGAGCCAUUGGUUUGAAUGGAUCGUACAAUUUUCAAAGGUGAGUUUAAUGUGCUUCUUUACUUCUCACAACAACACGUAGCACGCACAUGUUAACGUGGGUGGACUGACUACUAAUUUCUAUCUAUUUUAUUUUUAUCUUUUUUAUUAAUAAUAAUAAUUAGUAUGCGUCUUAAAUAAUUGUUGGAAUAUAGGGACUAAAAUUGCAAUUUUCAUUAUGAUUAGUAUUGGGCAUUGUUCUAAAAAGCUCCCAUAAGUUUUGUCUUGCUUGAAGCAUGGCCUUAUAGUCUAAUCACGCUUUACACUUUUUUUUUACGCAUAUGCAAAAUUUGCUUUUCAAAAUACUAAUAUUACGUUUCUAUAUUUCUAUAAAAGGGUCCUCCUGAUUCUGGGUGUCGUCAAUUGAUAUUUUAAUGAAUUUUAAAUAAUUAUAAAUUCUAAUAAAUUACAUGAAUUUGAAUAUAUUUCCUCAUAAUCCCAUAAUUUUAAUAGAAUUUGUAAAUUUUAAAGGAUUUAAUUGAAAUACAUUAAAACCCAAUUGAAAACACCUGAAUCUUGAAUAAUUUUUAAAAUUCGUUAAAAUUUCAACCGAGAACCCCUAAUCAUGUAUCCAUCUGCAUCACACCACUAUCCAAGAAGAGACUUAUCCAAUUUUUGGAGUCAUGGCUUUUGUCAGCAAAUUUGUCUUUAAAUUAAAAAGCCGUUCAUCACAGCCUCCAUUGGAAGUACUAGUGUCAAGGUAUGGACAAGAGAACAUGUUCAGCCAUUAUCUUAGCUUCUGCACUGGCAAUUGCAUUCCAAGUCUUUGUUUUAUCUCCAAUAUCACCCGAUAUACUUCUUCUUCCAACCUCUUCAAUCCCAUCAAACAGCAAGUUACAGGUAAAUAUAUACCUUACUCGUAAUUCGUGUGUGUGUAUAACAAACGGUUUAUGCUACUAGUUUCUUUUUGGCCUAAUAAAUAGGAAGUGAGUAAACUUGGAGAAGGGCUUUUAAAGAAACCAGAAGCCAUUGCCGUCGACAAAUCUGGCGUGCUUUAUACGGCUACAAGAGAUGGUUGGAUCGCAAGAUCGCACAGAAAUGGAUCCUUGGAGAAAUGGAGGCAUAUUGACAGUGAUAAUUUACUUGGAGUAACUGCAACAGCAGCUGGUGAUCUUGUCGUCUGCGACGCAGAGAAGGUAAAUCGUAUUGAAGAGUAACAUUUCUUAACAAUUUCAGCUUUUCGAUGAGUUUGUUGGACACAUCUGGUGAAAGCAGCUCAAGUCUCGCCUCUAACCAUUCAUGAAAAUUGUGUACUUUUUUUUUCUAAUAAUUUUAGCUUUUCGAUGAGGUAAUUAGACACAACAUCAAGUGAAAUCAAUUCAAGUCUCGUCUCUAAACAUUUAGGACUUUCUUAACUAUUUGUCAUUCGAUGUAAAUCGCAGUUCAAGUUUCACUUCUCGUCAUUUGGAAAAAUUGUGCACCUUUAAUGAAAAUAAAUCUGACUACUAUGUUGUAAAACUAAAUUUUUAAAUAAGUAAAUACAAUCCCUUGUUAAUAAAUAAGGUUUUUAGAUAAAGGGUUCAUCAUGCCUUAAUACUUCUCAAGAAUUUUGUUCAUGUUUUCAAGUAUUUACACUCGUAAUUAUCGUGAUGGCACAGGGUUUGCUCAAGGUUGGAGAAGAUGGUGUCACCGUUCUUGCAUCCCAUGUUAAUGGUGCCAAAAUUUUGUAAGAUCCCUUGUAAAUUCAAUAUCAAGUACAUAAUUUUCAUAAUGAAUAUGAAAAAAUUGAUCUGCAACUUUUGUUAAACAAGCUUGUCUAGAAACUUCAAUGUUAGGUAGGAAUAUUUUUUUUUUUUUUUUUUCCUUUUUUCAAAUCCUCUUUGGACCAUUUACUUUGCAAUUAUCCUAUUUGUACAUCAUUUUUUUCACAUCAAUUUUCACACUCCUCUCACAAAGGUGGGGUCCACGAUUAUUUUAAUCGUGGACCCCAUCCACUUGUAUGUGUGUGUACUGUGAUAAUUAACGUAAAAAAAAGUGUACAAAUAGAAUGAUUCUUUGGCAAUUUAUCGAAGUCUCUAGCUAAUUGAUGUCUAUUUGAAUACGCAAUAAGAAUUAUUUAUAGUUGUCUCUAUCAUCUCACUCUAAUUUUAACGAGAGAUAUAAUUGAAGAGUGAUAUGCUAUUAUUAAAAUGCAACCAGUCGAUCACGAUGUAAAUGUUGAAGCUUGGAAAGCCACAAAAAAAUUCAUGUCGAUUAUAUAAUAUUUAAUUUAGUUUGAUUAGUAGAUUUAUUUACCUUAAUCCUCUCUUUUUUUUUAAGGAAAAAAGGGCUUUUACGGCCCUAAUAAAUUUUUUAUAUUUAAACUUUAUUUUCUAAAAUUACAAAAAAAAAAACUGUCCAUUUUGUUGGGAAUCUACUUAUACAUGCACAGCGAAAUUUAAAAUAAUUUUCGAUUCCCACCAAGAAUCGCCUUUGUGUUUAGAUAGAAAUUGUGAUAAGAUUGUACCUUUUUCAGAUCUGCAAUCCUUUUGCUUUUCUCUUUCGUUCCACAACCUUGAUUCGCCACCACAGCUGUCCAAUUGUUCAGCCUCCAACGGUGCUUCACACAGAGAAUAUGAUUGCAGCCUCUAGGGUUUUCUCUUGUGCCAGCAAGAAUAAUGAAAACCUUAUGGACCUCAAACCCUAGUUAUGUAUUUAUAUAAACCCAAACAGGCUCGGUUCGGUCCGGUCCAAUAAUUAAUUAAUCCAAUUAAUUAAACUCGGUCCGUGAAUUAAUUAAUCCAAUUAAUUAAUUCGAAAAUAUAAAUAACAAAUCCAAUUAAUUAAUUUAUCCAACGAUUGUUAAAUUAACCAAUUGGCAAUUUGCAAUGUUCCAAUUCUCUUUUGUGUGUGACCCAUUAGGUUCCCGACCACGAUGCCUAACGACGUGAAAUAUUAUUUCGAUCUAAUCAAAAUUGAUAAAUUAAAACACCCUUUUAAUUUAUCGUCAAUUCACGUUCACCGUCCCUGAUUGACAUCUAGCAAUGUGUCAAGGCAAUACAUAUGACGGGAAAUGUCACGUGGUAUGACAAAAUCAAAUUCGUUCGUUUACCGUGAAACUAUAAUCCCUUCAUCAAUAUGAUCCGAUCAAUUACGAGAUAUGGAGCUGUGUCAAUCUCGAUCAUCGAUCAUAUCUUUCACUCCACUAUUAAGUCAAUAUAAGUCGAAAAUUCCUUUUCGACUUAUGAGUACACCUUGGCCAAGGAUUUCAUCAUUGACUUAAUUGAAUGAAACGCAGAUCAUAAUCUCCUACUAUUUAAGAGUGACGAAUCCUUUAUUGAUCAAUCACAACCUUCAUACGAUUCUUGACGUACCCGAACGAUGUCGUAUUAGCAGCCCUUUUCAGAGCAACAUUCAACACCACCAAAGUAUGACUAUCCUCAUAUAAGAUACCAUGACGACCUCAAGUCAAAGGAUCAAUUCCACUAUCGAACGUUAGAGAUUAACCACUGACACUCAGAUAGUUAUCCAUGUGGAAUCUCUCGACGGGUCUCCAAUGUUCUGUUCUAUAACAAAACAUCCACGUGUUCAUUUAAGUGUCACCACACUUUAACUUGUGAGAUCAGCUACUUACUUCACAAGUAAGAAAUGUCACACGUGAUGGUCUAUCCGUAAUAACGAUAUCCGUAUCUCGUUAUUACUUACGACCAUGGAUGAUUUAAGAUUCAAUCAGAUGUAAUUUGUAUCUCACAAUCACAACUCCUUGUAAUUAACAAAUUACGAAAAUUUGAAUUUACGGACUCUAUUAUUUAUUUAAUUGUCUAUUAGUUAAAUAAUAAAUUUUUCAUUUAAUUGCAUUAAUUAUAUAUAAAAGUAUUUAUGUCCAAAAUUGAUUGGACCUAGGGCAUAAUACUUACACAUUUUACACCAGAUUGUAUUAUGUAUUUGGAUUAAUUAAUUAUGUCCCUAUUAGCCUACUAUUAUUCAAUGAAAAUAAGUUUUGGAAUAAUAUAUUUUUGUAGAAUGUGUGAUUAAAAAAUAAAAAAUUAAAUUUACGUGGAAAAUAUUUUAUUAUGAAAGUACGUGGUGGAAAAUGAGUUUGAGAAAAAAAGUUUGAAAUAAUAAUACAAAAGGGGCUAUGCUAUAAAGUUUGAAUAUUCAAUCAUGUUACUUGUACAUUUUAUUUGAUAUCAUUGUUGAGAUUGUGCCACGUGUCGACACAUGAUUGGAUAUUUUUUAAACUCAACACACUUUCCCGUCAAAGCAUUUUUGAAUUUGCAUACAAUAUCAUCUAAAUUGUCAUUUAUAUAAUGUACAAGAAGUUUUAUUCUUGAAUAUUUAUUUAUAUAUUAUUUCAAAUAUUUAAAAGGUUUGCAGAUGAUGUGAUAGAAUCAGCAGAUGGUAGUUUGUACUUCAGCAUAGCAACUACAAAAUUUGAGCCGCAUGAUUGGCACCUUGAAGUGCUUGAGGCAAAGUCGCAUGGCCAACUUGCAAAGUAUGAUUCUUCAUCGAAGGAGACGUCUAUUUUGCUUGAUAAUCUUGCCUUUGCCAAUGGUGUUGCCCUCUCGGCAGAUCAAGACUACUUGGUCGUAUGUGAAACUUGGAAGUAAGUAUUUUUUCAAGAAUAAAUGCUUAAUUUUUCUUAAUUUACUCGGACGAAACUGGUAACAUAUUUAGUUGUGUUUGCAUCAAGAAUAACAAACUAAGUUCACAUUUGAUCCCGAUUUUCUAAAAUUCCUAUUUUUUUUUUUGUCAAAUAUAUUUUCAACAAUACAUUUAAUUAAUUUUUAUCAAGAUCUACUCAAAGAUAUAAUUUUCUAGAACAAAUAGUGGUUGAAUUUUAUUCUUAAUAAAUUUGACGUAGAUUACAUAAAUCCUUUUUCUCUAGUCAAUUCUACUCAUUGUUAUAUUUAUUUAAAAACUUAGACAAUUAGAUCAUUUUAUUCUACCAUUUCCUCUUUAUGACUUGUACCUUGAGAUAUCGAAAUAUGAGGAUUUAAAUUAUUCCUCUUAAUAAGUUUGAUCUUUUUUAAUAUAGAAUAUUUAGUUUUACUACAGUAUUAGAGCCUUUAAGGAUAAAUGAAUAAUUUAAUUCGAUUAAGAUUCAAGUGAGCACAUGAAUCUUAAGAUUGACGUACUCAAACAAAGCACCAUAUUGAGGGCAUGUUAAUCUCUACAUUAAAAGUUUACACAAGUAGAUUUACCCCUUUCAGCAGUUGCCGAAUUUAAUGGACUCACCAUUUGAGAUUUUGAUGGCAGAUAUAGAUGCUUAAAAUAUUGGCUAAAAGAGGAAAAGAGGGGACAAACUGAAGUAUUUAUUGAUAAUCUUCCUGGUGGCCCUGACAACAUAAAUCUUGCUCCAGAUGGCUCUUUUUGGAUUGCUGUGUUAGAGGUAAAACUCACUGUGAAGCUUAUCAUGGGAUUGUUUAACAAAUCAUUUCAUAAAAGUUUUUAGCAAAUUUAGAUAAAAGUUGAUAAAAUUGUGACUUCAUGAUAUAAAUGGUUAAAAUUGAAAUUUGAUCCAUCGACAAGCACGAGGAAUUAUUUCAAGAAAAGCUGCAAAUUUUGUAGUCAAUAACCAUAUAAACUUCCUGUGUUUAUCCAAAGGUUUAAUGAAAUUCAAGAUGAGAAAGCUAAAAACUUGUCGAACUAAGCUUUCUUUUUAGAAUAAUGCUAUUUAACCCUACUGAAAUUGCAACAUCAAUUUGGGUGCACACUAAAUGAAAUGUGAAAUUAAAUUAUUUAUUUAGUUUGACUUAUCAUUUAAUGUCAAAUUAGCUACAUAACAUUAUUCUUCUUUUUACUUUCCAUGUAUUCCUUUCUCUAUUUUAUUAUUCGAGCAACAAAUUGAUCCCUAACCUUAAAAUAGGGCAAACUUGCCCCCAAACAUUUUGUUAAACUUGAAAUAGUAGGUCCUUAGUAACAAAAACUGUCUAAAUCCCCUAUUAAGCGUCAUGUAACCCCCACCUAUCCGACUUUAUGAAGCCAAUUUUUUGGUUUGCAACUUAGGUUAGUGCCAGGGACAAGUUAAUGAAGAUGUAGUUGUAGACUAGCUUCUUACUCAAGUGAUAGGUCACUGAAAUUCACAACAUAAUGUUUGCAAUAUUUAUAGAAGGAGACUUUCUUCAUACUUGAGAUGAGAUCUACUAUGAUUUUUAAGAUCUCGAUGAGAAAAUAGAUCUAAACUCAUCAUAUUCAUAACUGAAGACUUUCUCUGGUGCUGCAGGUGGUUCCUAAAAGGUUGGCAUUCGUGCACAGAUCAAGAGUGAUAAAACACAUUAUAGGGCGUUCCUCUAAAUUAAGCAAAUGGGUAAUUGGUUUCAACAACAAAGCAAUGGUUGUCAAUGUAGCAAGUGAUGGUAAGAUUAUUAGGAGCUUUGACGAUCCAACGGGAAAGAUUAUGUCAUUUGUAACAUCUGCACUGGAGUAUGAAAAUCAUUUGUAUUUGGGAACUCUUAAUUGUGACUUCAUAGGGAAACUGCCACUGACAAAUCCAUGAGAAUAGCACUAUUUGAUUUGGGAUUGCACGCAUCAAUAAUAUUGUAAAAACGAG